AAGAACAAGGGAGAGGGGUUCGGCCCCCUCCAAGAGAAAAAAAGAAUUUCCAAGUCCAUGAAUAUUGAUUCAAAAAUCAUAAUUUUCUAGCAAUAUUACUAACUCAAGGAUGCUCUUCAACAUGGUAUAAUUUUUAAGGCAAGAAAGUGCUUGUGUUGGCAAGUGGAAGAUUGGAUAAAAAGAUUUUGGGCGAAACGGGAAUUGAAUUUGGAAAGGCGUAAAGAGCAUAUAAGGAACUGACGACAGAUUUGCUGACCCGCCUGCCUAGGACAUCUAUUCUGCUAUUUUGGAGCGCUCUUUCGUCCAGAGCCUAUAUGUUGGUACAGUCUGCUGCUAUUGUAUAUAUGUAUGUUAUUCAGGGGUAUGACGGGGCCCUGUCCCGUCUUAUGAUUCUGUUAUAUUCUGUAGAGGUCUGUAGACAUACUGUUGCACCCUAUUUUUACCAAAGGCUAAACAAAGCACAACUUAUGGAGCUCUGAAAUAAUUAAUUAUGUACAGAGUCGCCACCUAGCAUUUAAGGUAUACUAGGGUACCUAUAAAUUAUUAAUAUAUGCAGCUUAACAUGAUCUACGAAAAUAAGUGAGAUUCUAGGUAAGGGUUCAAAUUAUUCCGAAGGGAAGGUGUUAGGCAUCCUUCAGAAUCCACAAAUGUGGUUCCCGGCUGGACCAAUUUAACUAUACGAGGGAUGUGUAAAAAGGCUUAAUUAUUAUUUACAAAAAUUAAUAGAAUUUAGACUAAAGAAUAACUAACAUGACUAUUCACAUAAAUAAUCAUGCAAUACGUAUUUUAUACAUAUGUGAUAUAAUAAUUAUUAAAAAAAAGUUAUGUGCAACUUAGAAGCUUGGGUAUGUGAAAAGGGUAUAAAGAAUGGACAUGAAAUUACUCAAGGUGAGUUAACUAAUUUAACUAGCUAAGUAUGUACGCCUAAUCAAUUAAUUAAGAGAGUACAUUCUAAAACCUAAUAUUGAGGCAAAUCACCCUAUUUGUUCACUUAAGUGUGCUAAGCUAUUGAAUUAAAACUCGAGCGAAACAUGAUAACUAUAAGAAUAUUAGCUACAAAAAUGAUAACUGCCUAAUAUUAAUUUGUCUAAAACACAUAAAAUUUAAAUCACCUAAGCAGAUCAUAAAUAAAUACCACCAACCUGCACCCUAAAAAGUAAAGUUUCACUAUAUUUUAUGCUUGUAUAAUUUAAGACUGUAAAAAAAAUAUAUAUAUAAACAGAGAAUUUAAGAAGCUAUUUGAACUUCUUUUGAGUGUCAUCUUCAAAAAGUAACUCCGAAUACCUGCAUGAGACUUAAUAAAAAUGUUAGUAAGAGAAUAAAUAACUAUCGGAUGAAUUAAAGAAAUAAUGAAUAAACUUAAAAUAAAAACCCGUCUUUGUACAUGGAAGGCCUUGAAAAUCGACGGAAAUUUCUUCAUCGGCCACUUGGAAUAGUAUUUUCCCAAAGCAGUUUAGUUAAACAAUAAAAGGGAGAAAGUGUCCACAACAAUUUUAGGCAAUAUAUCAUAGUUGAGAAAGGUUUAAGCACAAUGCGGAUAGCAGCGGGAGUGGGACACAAAAACCAACAUUAUUUAAUAUAAAAGAUCAUGUAAAGUAGUGCAAAGAGUAAAAAAAUGUGUAAACAGUAGCAAGUGAAGUGGUUAGCAGUACUUUUCCCUAAAAAUAUAGGAAUCUGCCAGCUUCAAGAAUGCAAAACUUUGAGGGAGUAUUUUCUUAUCAAGCACAGCAUAAAACACAUCAAGAUAUGGCAACAAAAUUGGCCAAAGGUGCGGUAGAAAAAUAGCACCAGUGAACCAAAACAUGCUAAUAACUCUAAAUGAAAUAGUAGCUUAAGUUAGCAAUAGGAUAUGACAAACAUUGGACAGCAGCUAACUUUAGACAGUAAGAUAGCAGCUAAUUUUCCAAAACAGUUAAGGCAACACAAAAUUAUUAAAGACAAUAAUAAACAUAGCAAUGGUUGAAUGUAACAACAGUUGUGAUGGCAAACGUAGUAAGAAAAAAAAUAAACAAGGCAGCCAUGGUCGUCGGAGAAAACCCAUUCGCCGGAGCUCGAAGACUCCGACCAGAUCUAAAAAAAAAACAAAAAACAUACACGCACAAAACAAAAAAAAAAUCGUUAGUAGGGGGAGGAAGAUAGCAGCGGUAUGGUGGUGUGUGGGCUGGUUUCGUGGUGGUGAAGGGGAAGCCGUGGGCUGCUCCGGGUCACCGGAGCUAUAUGCUCCUCGCCGGAGCAGCGAAAGGGACGAAGGGUGUGGAUUGGUUGUUCGUUGGUGUUGGGGAGAUGGAGCAGUCGUUGGUUCGUGUUCGCCGGAGCUCGGAGCUCCGGCGUGGAGGGCUGGCGGCGGCAGCUAAGAGAAAAGUGGGGGAGAAAGAAAAUGUUUGGUGUGUUUUUUAGAAGAGAGAGAGAAGCAAAAUCUGAAAAAUUAGUGUCUGUGUGUGAUAGCGUGUGUGAGGGAGGAAGGGAAUAGAAAAAGUGAAGGGAGAGAGUUUUUAGGGGGAAAGAAAUGGAAGAAAAUUCAAAAAGUAGAAAACAUGUGGGGCCUGCAGAGAAAAGGGGAAAGGAAUAAAAUCUGGAAAAUGAGAUGUGUUGUCUGUGUAAGUGUGUGUUUGUGUAUAGAAUGAAGACAAAGGAUGAAAAAAUAAAAUUUAACCCCACCCUUUCUUAUAAUAUCAAUGAACACCCUCUUUUGUCCAAAAAAUAAAAGAAUGCACCCCUUUGUCCCCUCAAUGCUUAUUUUAAUCCCUUUAAAAAAAAAGUGAUGAAACCUUGACUUGAUCGGAUUUUACUCUGCGUUUAAAAAUUAAUUACUCCGAUUUUCUCUGCACUGCCAGACUGUACUAAAAUAUAGUUAAUUAAUACAUGUAUAAAUAAUAACGCAAGUAUAAAAUAUAAACAUUAAUGUCUAUGAUAUGAAAAUGUAUUGCUAUAAAAUUAAGAAACAAUUAUUAAUUACACAAAAAAAUUGUAGUAUCACGUUGUACAUAUGCAAA